GAUGAACGCUGGCGGCGUGCCUAAUACAUGCAAGUCGAACGAACAGACGAGGAGCUUGCUCCGCUGACGUUAGCGGAGCGCGGGUGAGUAACACGUGGAUAACCUCCCUAUAAGUGUGGUAUAACUUCGGGACACCGGAGAUAAUCGCGGAUAAGAUAUUGAACCGCAGGGGUCGAUGGUGAAAGUCGGCUUUGGUGUCUGUACUAGCGGGAUACGAGCCGGAUUAGCUGGUUGGUAAGUUAACGGGUUACCAAGGGAAGCAUGCGUAGCCGACCGGACAGGGUGAUAGGCCACCUUGGAACGGAGACAGGGACCAGACUCCUACGGGAGGCAGCAGUAGGGAAUCGUACGCAAUGGGCGAAAGCUUUACGGAGCAACGCGGCGUGAGAGAUGAAGGUCUUGGGAUCGUAAAACUCUGUUAUUAGGGAAGAACAAAUGUGUAAGUAACUAUGCACGUCGUGACGGUACCGAAUCAGGAAGCACCGGCUAACUACGUG
rnacentral:rRNA from 1 species